GAAAAUAUACCAACGUCUGUACAUCAUUGGUGACCAAGUACCCAUUUUCUAAGGGACCGCACAGGACAAGGAAAUGAAUCAUGGCAUGGGAUGAUAAAACAUGAAUUCAAAAAAGAAAGGCAACCUCUUGACUGUAAAACACAGGUUAAAAUCAUCAGAGCUAAGUUCACACAGAAAAGGAGUUCUGAUGGGAAUGAAGGCCCAGCAUCAAAGACAACCAAGGUAACUAAUGGCACGCAUGAUGUGGAGCUACUUGGGGGCCUGUCUGCUACACCACUUUGAACCAAGCAUUGAUACAGAAUGCAGAGGACACCUUCAGUGUGACAAAGCACAUCGAAAGAAUGAAGGAAGAAUGCAAAAGAAACCAUCCUGACCUUAGCCUCCUGCAGGACAAAAUGAAGUGGACUUCGGUGGAGAGAGGCCAUUUAUUGGCACCCACCACACCAAAGAGAGCCUUAAUGUGUUCCCUGCACUGCGUCACUUCAGCAUUAUUUCACCGCUCCCCACUCCUUUACUGCACAUCGGCGGAAAUCAAUUUAAUCACGAGAGUGAAAUCAUGCUGGCCUUUGAUGGGGAGAACAUCCACGCCCUAGAGGAAGUCUCCAUGGGAUUUGGGGCUCUACUAGGGCUGUAUUUUGUAUUUUCAGUUACAUUUCCCAAAAAUGUCAGAAAAACACUUAUGUUCUUAAGUUACUGUGUUUUGGGGAUGAGAGAAAUUGGGGUGAAGUUACCAGGGCCGGUCAUAAAGAUGGCAAACUUCCUAACAUAACUAAGUGGUUGUUGGACACACACUCAAUAUGUAUUUAGCAUCAAGUCUACAAUAUUGUUAGUUUACCUGCAUUCAUUUUUAAUGUAUGUGGUUUUUAUUGUACAUAAUUAUUUAAUAAAAAUACAAUAAAAAAUUAA